AGCGACUCUCUCACAGUUGGAACGAUAAAGAAAAGGAAAAGGGCGACUAUUUUGCAGCUUUGGAUUAAAUGGGUAUUUCAUUGGACACCUUCAUCAGGAAGCAUUUCUGAAUGUUCAUAGGGAAUGAUGGACAGAUGGGCUGACUAUUUGAAAAGAAAAUCUGUGGUAGGCAGGAAGCUGGAAUGGAAUGAAUGGAGUUGACCAUUAUAAUUGGAAUCUGGGAUUUUAAGCCACACCUAGUCUCCCCUUGUACUGAAGACACUGUUUGGAAGGGGGUUGGCAUGAAAAGAUGAACUGUGACAUUAAGUGAUGGGUCUUCCAUCCUAAAGCUCUUGUGCUGCACAGCGGAUGGUUAAUGUUAAUGGGCAUGAAUGAAGGAAGCUCAGCAGUAAUGAGGUGGGGGAUCUUUUUUUUAUUUUUUUUAUUUUUUGCACUAUUGACUUACCUUUUCUCUCCUCCUCCCUGACCAUAGCCUUAAAUUUAGAAACAUCCAAAUGUAUUGGAUGAAAAGCCGAUCUAGAUGAUAGGUUCUCUAGUCAAGCAUUCAGCAACAUAUGGAAACCCACCAAGGAAUGGCUGGAUUGGGUGGGAAUCAAACAGCAAGAGUGCCUCCAUUUUUCUCAGUGCUGCAACAUAUCUGUUGCAAACCGUCCUCCAAACUGUCUGGAGGCAAUGUGGAAACAGAGCAAGCCAACAGCAGUAGCGAAAAGGAGCAGAUGAGCUAGAAGAAAUCAUAAAGAAAAGAAAUAGAAACACUAAUAAUUUGCAGCCUUUGCAAUGAAUGUAUUGGCUUAACCAGUGAACGAGACUCAUUGAAUAUUUCCCUGUUCCCCCCACCCCACCCCCAAGUCUGGUGGUGGUUCUCUGUACCUUCUUCCCAAUUUGACUGUGAUCUUCCAGUUCAGAUGCAUUGUGUGUGCUGUGUGACAAAAGCUAUGAAGAGCCUCUGUGGCAGAAAAUGAGUGGCUUUUAUAUAAAGGAGUCCAACCGUA